rnacentral:tRNA from 1 species
GGCCCUAUAGUCUAGCGGUCAGGACGCCGCCCUCUCACGGCGGAAGCUGGGGUUCGAUUCCCCAUAGGGCUACCA